GAUGGUCUACAAGUCAAACCCUUGAGGUCAUAAGCCUGCAUGGACAUUCCCUCAAAACCCCCCAAAAGAGGCAACCAGGAGAGUGUGUGGAUGGUUUGGUUUGCGGCCCAGUGUGAAGACAACAGUGUCAUUGUUCAUACGCUGGAAGGGUGGAUCCUUUCCUCUGGACAGGUUGUGGUUUCUUCUCUUGCAGUAUGCUAAUGGCUAGGGCACGAGCUAAGCUGACAGGUGAAGGUGGGGAUGGAUGAGUGUGAUGUGACAGAUGUCUGAAGGUGGGGGCGACAAUGACGUCGCUCGAGAUACCAGACUCCAAUGACCUGACUGUGAACCUGGGGGCCAGGAGACCAAAUGAUUGCCUCUCCGAUUAGAGCAACAUACCUGCGGGCUAUUUCCAUAACCUGACCAUACCACACACCAAUUACCCAGAAUUCAACAUGCCUGCUGUGACCUGCCAUGCCAAAAGAGACUUAGCAGACCUCGCUGUAUGUGACAGCUUUACUAACAUGUUCAUUAAUAAGAUCACUUUGCACAGACAUAACUAAAACUAUAUAUGUUUAAAAAAAAUAAAGAAAAAAAUAAAGAUUUAUGCUACUUGAAAUAAAAUAAACA